rnacentral:rRNA from 1 species
GAACUUCUGCGAAAGCAUUUGCCAAGGAUGUUUUCAUUAAUCAAGAACGAAAGUUGGGGGCUCGAAGACGAUUAGAUACCGUCGUAGUCUCAACCAUAAACGAUGCCGACUAGGGAUUGGCAGGUGUUUCGUUGAUGACCCUGCCAGCACCUUAUGAGAAAUCAAAGUUUUUGGGUUCCGGGGGGAGUAUGGUCGCAAGGCUGAAACUUAAAGGAAUUGACGGAAGGGCACCACCAGGCGUUAAAAAAGCAGAAGCUCAGCGCCUAAAAGUCAGUGGGAAACCACUGGCUAGUGCUUGGGUGCUGCUCUGACAGCACUUGAGCGCAACACUGAUCAAAUUGCGGGAAAGCCCUAAAGCUUUGCUAACCAAGCUGAGUGUGAAAGCACUCAGUGGCCGGGUUAAAGACCUUGGGUAUGGUAAAAUCAGCAAAGAUGCAACAAUGGGCAAUCCGCAGCCAAGCUCCUUAAGCCUUCUAGGCUAUGGAGAAGGUUCAGAGACUAAAUGGCAGUGGGCCAACUUGUUGGCUUAAGAUAUAGUCCGUCCCAGCUGAAAGGCUGUCUGCUAGAGGAAGACUAUCC